rnacentral:rRNA from 1 species
UACGAAGGGGGCUAGCGUUGCUCGGAAUCACUGGGCGUAAAGCGCACGUAGGCGGAUCGCUAAGUCAGGGGUGAAAUCCUGGAGCUCAACUCCAGAACUGCCUUUGAUACUGGCAAUCUCGAGUCCGGGAGAGGUGAGUGGAACUGCGAGUGUAGAGGUGAAAUUCGUAGAUAUUCGCAAGAACACCAGUGGCGAAGGCGGCUCACUGGCCCGGGUACUGACGCUGAGGCGCGAAAGCGUGGGGAGCAAACAGG